rnacentral:rRNA from 1 species
CCUACGGUGGCAGCAGUGGGGAAUAUUGGACAAUGGGCGAAAGCCUGAUCCAGCCAUGCCGCGUGUGUGAAGAAGGCCUUCGGGUUGUAAAGCACUUUCAGUGGGGAAGAAAGCCUUGGGGCUAAUACCCUCGAGGAAGGACAUCACCCACAGAAGAAGCACCGGCUAACUCCGUGCCAGCAGCCGCGGUAAUACGGAGGGUGCGAGCGUUAAUCGGAAUUACUGGGCGUAAAGCGCGCGUAGGCGGUCUGAUAAGCCGGUUGUGAAAGCCCCGGGCUCAACCUGGGAACGGCAUCCGGAACUGUCAGGCUAGAGUGCAGGAGAGGAAGGUAGAAUUCCCGGUGUAGCAGUGAAAUGCGUAGAGAUCGGGAGGAAUACCAGUGGCGAAGGCGGCCUUCUGGACUGACACUGACGCUGAGGUGCGAAAGCGUGGGUAGCAAACAGGAUUAGAUACCCCAGUAGUC